CUGUUCACUUAACCUCUCUGGUUAUCCAUAUCCUCAUCCAUAGAAUGGAGAUAAUCAUUCUCACCACCGAGGGGUGCUGUGAGGAUCGGGCAAGGCCACAAGGUAAGGACUGGAUCAACCUGAGGCACAGCGCAAGCUUCCCUUGCUCCAGCCACGCAGCGGGACUCUAGUCUAUGCAAAUCUUUGCCAAAUACAUCUGAUCUUGCCAAUUGUCUUAGUCUGUUUAGGUUGCUGUAACAAAAUACCAUAAACCAGGUGGCUUAUAAACAACAGAAAUUUAUUUCUCACAGUUCUGGAGGCUGGAAAGCCCACCAUUGAGGUGGCUGGCAGAUUUGAUGUCUUGUGAGGGCCCAUUUCCUGGUGCACAGAUGGUAGCUUCUUGCUAUGUUCUCACCUAGUGGAAGGGACCAGGCAGCUCUCUGGGGUCUCUUUUAUAAGGAUGCUCAUCCCAUUCACAAGACCCCUGCCCUCAUGACCUAAUCACCUCCCAAAUUCCCCACUUCCUAAUACCAUCACCUUGAGGAUUAGGUUUCAAUGUCUGAAUUUCGGGGGAGACACAGACAUUCAGACCCUAGCACCGACUCUCGCUACUUCUCUUAAUAUUACCUCAUAUGCUUCAUUCCAGAGUGACCUUUUAGCAUGCUCGGCUUCUUCUGUGAUCCUGAAGUUAUGUUUGACACUGGUGGCAUAGGUAGCAUCCACAUCUGUUGGAUGGAAAGCUUCUCCAGGCAGGGGCCUCUCCCUUCCUCUUUACAGAGCCCAGCAUGCAGGAAAUGUGCAGCGUGUGUCUAUUCCUAGGUGGACAAAUGCAUCCAUGAACGAGGAGCUGGCACCUCUCUCUUGAAGACCUGUUUAUUUCACGUCAUGCAACUUUAGCAAGAUGUUUACUCUUAUGGGC
rnacentral:lncRNA from 1 species